rnacentral:rRNA from 1 species
GGGUAUAUGUACGCAUAUUGCACGUCGUGGGAACCUACCAUGACGUACCCAUACUUGAGCGCUU